rnacentral:rRNA from 1 species
UACGAAGGGGGCUAGCGUUGUUCGGAAUCACUGGGCGUAAAGCGCACGUAGGCGGAUCUUUAAGUCAGGGGUGAAAUCCCGAGGCUCAACCUCGGAACUGCCUUUGAUACUGGGGAUCUCGAGUCCGGGAGAGGUGAGUGGAAUUCCGAGUGUAGAGGUGAAAUUCGUAGAUAUUCGGAAAGAACACCAGUGGCGAAGGCGCUCACUGGACUGGGUAUUGACGCUGAGGUGCGAAAGCGUGGGGAGCAAACAGG